AUUGAACGCUGGCGGCAGGCCUAACACAUGCAAGUCGAACGAGUGGCGGACGGGUGAGUAAUGUCUGGGAAACUGCCUGAUGGAGGGGGAUAACUACUGGAAACGGUAGCUAAUACCGCAUACCAUCGGAUGUGCCCAGAUGGGAUUAGCUAGUAGGUGGGGUAAAGGCUCACCUAGGCGACGAUCCCUAGCUGGUCUGAGAGGAGGACCCGCCAGAUGGGAACGUAGACACGGUCCAGACUCCUACGGUAGGGAGCAGUGGGGAAUAGUGCGCACGGGUGGCAAGCCUGAUGCAGCCAUGCCGCGUGUAUGAAAAAGGCCUUCGGGUUGUAAAGUACUUUCAGCGGAGAGGCGUUACCCGCAGAAGAAGCACCGGCUAACUCCGUGCCAGCAGCCGCCGUAAUAC
rnacentral:rRNA from 1 species